rnacentral:rRNA from 1 species
GAUGAACGCUAGCGGCAGGCCUAACACAUGCAAGUCGAGGGGUAGAGGAAGCUUGCUUCCUUGAGACCGGCGCACGGGUGCGUAACGCGUAUGCAAUCUACCUUUUACAGAGGGAUAGCCCAGAGAAAUUUGGAUUAAUACCUCAUAGUAUUUUCGAAUGGCAUCAUUUGAUUAUUAAAGUUCCAACGGUAAAAGAUGAGCAUGCGUCCUAUUAGCUAGAUGGUAAGGUAACGGCUUACCAUGGCAAAGAUAGGUAGGGGUCAUGAGAGGGAGAUCCCCCACACUGGUACUGAGACACGGACCAGACUCCUACGGGAGGCAGCAGUGAGGAAUAUUGGACAAUGGGCGCAAGCCUGAUCCAGCCAUGCCGCGUGCAGGAAGACGCAUCUACGGUGUGUAAACUGCUUUUGUACGGGAAGAAACACUCCCUCGUGAGGGAGCUUGACGGUACCGUAGGAAUAAGGAUCGGCUAACUCCGUGCCAGCAGCCGCCGUAAGAC